UACAGAGGGUGCGAGCGUUGUCCGGAAUCACUGGGCGUAAAGGGCGCGUCGGUGGUGGCUUAAGCGUGCGGUGAAAGCUCGGAGCUCAACUCCGAGUCGGCCGUGCGAACUGGGCUCACUGGAGCAUAGUAGAGGCAGGUGGAAUUCCUGGUGGAGCGGUGAAAUGCGCAGAGAUCAGGAGGAACACCCGUAGCGAAGGCGGCACUCUGGGCCGAUACUGACACUGAGGAGCGAAAGCGUGGGGAGCGAACAGG
rnacentral:rRNA from 1 species